CGCCUGACGGAGCAACGCCGCGUGAGGGAGGAAGGCCUUCGGGUUGUAAACCUCUUUUCUCUGGGAAGAAGUUCUGACGGUACCAGAGGAAUAAGCCUCGGCUAACUCCGUGCCAGCAGCCGCGGUAAGACGGAGGAGGCAAGCGUUAUCCGGAAUUAUUGGGCGUAAAGCGUCCGUAGGUGGUUAUUCAAGUCUUUUGUUAAAUAGUGGAGCUCAACUCCAUAGAGGCGGAAGAAACUGAGUAACUUGAGUGUGGUAGGGGUAGAGGGAAUUCCAGGUGUAGCGGUGAAAUGCGUAGAUAUCUGGAAGAACACCAGUGGCCG
rnacentral:rRNA from 1 species